rnacentral:sRNA from 1 species
UACACCCAAUUGGCAACGGCGCCAAAUUGAUAAUAGGGUUUUUAGUCAAUUAUCGUUGUCGUUGUAGUAUUUUAGGUUGUCAAUCCAAAUGGGUGGGAUGCGAACAAUCAAGAUGUGAUCAGAAGUCACUAAGUCAAGCCAAGCAAUAACAGGUUUUGGUGUGUUCUAGCAGUCCUAAGUGAACAUGCAGAAAACAGAAAAUCAAGUAGAAACAGCAAAACACUCGACCAACACAGCUCGUUGCAGAGCAUUGGGUGUGGUCGAGUAACAGGCAGUAAGCGAAAUAAAGACACUCGACUGCACAGUCGGUUACCAGACAACUGGGUGGUUGAGUAUCAGGUCGAGUAACAGGAAAGAAUUAUAGAAACUAAGCAACAGAUGACAAGAUGUAGUAAACAACAGUAGAGUAAACAAUAAAAUCAAUCAGAUAAAGAAUUCCCGAGGAUGAGGUAAUUGAGUAGUUUCGUUUCCUCAGUUUAUAGGUGAUUGAUAUGCUCAAUAAAUUAUCCCUAGACAACAAGUUCAUUAACCAAAUAUAAGUGCCACCGUUACAGAGACCCUCAAGUUAACCUAGUCCCAGACUCAAUGACCAUUGAAGAGAGCUAACCUAACAGGCAUUACGAAUCAAUAAGUCAAAGCCAAAACGCUCUCUGCAACCAAUACCUUGGUACAGGCCAACAAAUCUCUGGAAUUAGUGGUUCAGACAUUUCAUCGAACACCUUUUGGGCGCGGAAAUGUCUGGGCUCAAAUUCAAGUUGAUUGGAAAGCAAUAGGCAUUAAGAACAACUAAUCCAGAAGGGAUCUAUCAAUCAAACUCAACCACCUAGCAUAAUGAGAAUUCUAAACUACUCUAACCCAUCCUCAGAAACCUAUUCACUACUCAGGUUAAGAACAAAUACUGAAUACUGAAUACUAAAUAGAUAAAGAGAAAUCCGGAUUACAAAAGGUCAAGAACACAGUGUCUACGGAAUAAAACCUAGAAAAACUUGUUCUCGAAAAUGUAAAGUACAUGCUACUUAUAGCAAAAUAUCCCGAAACCCUAAUACUCAAAACAACGCAUUAUUGGGACGAAUUAAGAACUGUACUCGACCCAAGUGGUUGAGUGAGUGGUCGAGUGAUAAGCUAGAGUCUUCUUUUCUUCCUUGUGCUCGAGUGUCUUGUUGAGUGCAGAAUGGAGAAGACUCUGAAGCUUGCCAUCGAGUAUGUAGUCGAGUGGUGGUGAUGGUGAUACUCAACUACCAGGUAGAGUGAUGUGAUCGAGUGAUGGUCAGGUGGUGGAGGUGAAGAUACUCGACCAGGGGGUCGAGUGAUGUGAUCGAGUGUCUCCCUUGGCUGUACUCGACCAGGGGGUCGAGUGGUGACGUGAAGUGCUGAGGUCUUCUACUCGACCAAGAGGUCGAGUGGUCUGUUGAAGUCGUGAAGCAUCUACUCGACCAGGG